rnacentral:rRNA from 1 species
GACGAACGCUGGCGGCGUGCUUAACACAUGCAAGUCGAACGAGUGGCGCACGCGUGAGUAAUACGUGGGUAACCUGCCCUCUUUUUGGGAUAAGCCUCGGAAACGGGGACUAAUACCCAAUUACGGGUGAUGGGCGCGCGGCCUAUCAGCUUGUUGGUGGGGUGAGGGCCUACCAAGGCGGUGCCGGGUAGCUGGCCUGAGAGGGUGACCGGCCACAUUGGGACUGAGACACGGCCCAGACUCCUACGGGAGGCAGCAGUGGGGAAUAUUGCACAAUGGGCGAAAGCCUGAUGCAGCGAUGCCGCGUGGAGGAUGAAGGCUUUCGGAUCGUAAAGCACUGUUAUCAGAGAAGCGGUAACUGAUCAGAAAGCCACGGCUAACUACGUGCCAGCAGCCGCGGUAAUUC